CCUACGGGGGGCUGCAGUGGGGAAUAUUGGACAAUGGGGGGAACCCUGAUCCAGCCAUGCCGCGUGUGUGAAGAAGGCCCUCGGGUUGUAAAGCACUUUCAGUGAGGAAGAACGCCUGGUGGUUAAUACCCAUCAGGAAAGACAUCACUCACAGAAGAAGCACCGGCUAACUCCGUGCCAGCAGCCGCGGUAAUACGGAGGGUGCGAGCGUUAAUCGGAAUUACUGGGCGUAAAGCGCGCGUAGGUGGCUUGAUAAGCCGGUUGUGAAAGCCCCGGGCUCAACCCGGGAACGGCAUCCGGAACUGUCAAGCUAGAGUGCAGGAGAGGAAGGUAGAAUUCCCGGUGUAGCGGUGAAAUGCGUAGAGAUCGGGAGGAAUACCAGUGGCGAAGGCGGCCUUCUGGACUGACACUGACACUGAGGUGCGAAAGCGUGGGUAGCAAACAGGAUUAGAUACCCCGGUAGUC
rnacentral:rRNA from 1 species